rnacentral:rRNA from 1 species
UGGGGAAUUGUUCGCAAUGGGCGCAAGCCUGACGACGCAACGCCGCGUGGAGGAUGAAAUCCUUCGGGAUGUAAACUUCGCAAAACUGGGAAGAACAAAAUGACGGUACCUCCAGAAGAAGCCCCGGCUAACUACGUGCCAGCAGCCGCGGUAAUACGUAGGGGGCAAGCGUUGUCCGGAAUCAUUGGGCGUAAAGCGCGUGUAGGUGGCUUGGUAAGUCCGGUGUGAAACCUUGGGGCUCAACCCCAAGCCUGCAUCGGAUACUGCCUCGCUCGAGUUCGGGAGGGGAGAGCGGAAUUCCUAGUGUAGCGGUGAAAUGCGCAGAUAUCGGGAGGAACACCUGUGGCGAAGGCGGCCACCUGGUUGGAUACUGACGCUGAGACGCGAAAGCGUGGGGAGCAAACAGGAUUAGAUACCCACGUAGUCCCUGAGCGGGCUGGCAAGGCGCAU